CGUUGUUGGGGUUUGGAAAGGGGACUCAUCUGUUUGUGGAUUUGUCAAUAUCUAUGCUCCGUGUAGUUUGGCUGAUAAGAGGUCGCAGUGGGAGGAAGUUCUGAGCAUCAAGUCUUCUAUACACUGUGAUCUUUGGUGUAUCAUGGGUGAUUUUAACGCUGUCAGGAAUGCUUCAGAGCGUUUUGGUGGUGUUAGUCCCCAUUCUGCUUCUGAGUCGUUUUUGUUUAACGAGUGGAUUUAUGCUAUGCAGGUUUUGGAUAUUCCAAUGAUUGGAGGUCGUUUUACUUGCUUUCAACCGAGUGGUAGUGCUAUGAGUAGAUUGGAUUGUUUCCUCCUUAGCUCUGCUUGGCUUGAUAAGUGGGUGGGUUCUACUCAAUG
rnacentral:lncRNA from 1 species